GGAGCUGCGAAGCCUGCCGCUCCCGACCUCGCCGCGCCACCGCGCCGCUCGCCUCAGUCCAGCACCCGGUGCCUUCGCCGCCCAUCUCCGCUCACCGGACGCCGCGACCGCGAGCCCGACGCCGCCACACCAGCUGCCCGAGGCCUCCUGCCGUCCCUGUAGCACCCCACCGUUCGAAGCCCGCGACCUGACGACCUGCGGUCCGCGAUCCGCGCUCCAGCUCUGUCGCCCCUCCUCUACCCGCGAAGCUGCAGCCGCUGCUAAGCCGAGA
rnacentral:lncRNA from 1 species